AUGAACGCUAGCUACAGGCUUAACACAUGCAAGUCGAGGGGCAGCAUGGUCUUAGCUUGCUAAGGCCGAUGGCGACCGGCGCACGGGUGAGUAACACGUAUCCAACCUGCCGUCUACUCUUGGACAGCCUUCUGAAAGGAAGAUUAAUACAAGAUGGCAUCAUGAGUCCGCAUGUUCACAUGAUUAAAGGUAUUCCGGUAGACGAUGGGGAUGCGUUCCAUUAGAUAGUAGGCGGGGUAACGGCCCACCUAGUCUUCGAUGGAUAGGGGUUCUGAGAGGAAGGUCCCCCACAUUGGAACUGAGACACGGUCCAAACUCCUACGGGAGGCAGCAGUGAGGAAUAUUGGUCAAUGGGCGAGAGCCUGAACCAGCCAAGUAGCGUGAAGGAUGACUGCCCUAUGGGUUGUAAACUUCUUUUAUAAAGGAAUAAAGUCGGGUAUGCAUACCCGUUUGCAUGUACUUUAUGAAUAAGGAUCGGCUAACUCCGUGCCAGCAGCCGCGGUAAUACGGAGGAUCCGAGCGUUAUCCGGAUUUAUUGGGUUUAAAGGGAGCGUAGAUGGAUGUUUAAGUCAGUUGUGAAAGUUUGCGGCUCAACCGUAAAAUUGCAGUUGAUACUGGAUAUCUUGAGUGCAGUUGAGGCAGGCGGAAUUCGUGGUGUAGCGGUGAAAUGCUUAGAUAUCACGAAGAACUCCGAUUGCGAAGGCAGCCUGCUAAGCUGCAACUGACAUUGAGGCUCGAAAGUGUGGGUAUCAAACAGGAUUAGAUACCCUGGUAGUCCACACGGUAAACGAUGAAUACUCGCUGUUUGCGAUAUACAGCAAGCGGCCAAGCGAAAGCGUUAAGUAUUCCACCUGGGGAGUACGCCGGCAACGGUGAAACUCAAAGGAAUUGACGGGGGCCCGCACAAGCGGAGGAACAUGUGGUUUAAUUCGAUGAUACGCGAGGAACCUUACCCGGGCUUAAAUUGCAGAUGAAUUACGGUGAAAGCCGUAAGCCGCAAGGCAUCUGUGAAGGUGCUGCAUGGUUGUCGUCAGCUCGUGCCGUGAGGUGUCGGCUUAAGUGCCAUAACGAGCGCAACCCUUGUUGUCAGUUACUAACAGGUCAUGCUGAGGACUCUGACAAGACUGCCAUCGUAAGAUGUGAGGAAGGUGGGGAUGACGUCAAAUCAGCACGGCCCUUACGUCCGGGGCUACACACGUGUUACAAUGGGGGGUACAGAGGGCCGCUACCACGCGAGUGGAUGCCAAUCCCAAAAACCUCUCUCAGUUCGGACUGGAGUCUGCAACCCGACUCCACGAAGCUGGAUUCGCUAGUAAUCGCGCAUCAGCCACGGCGCGGUGAAUACGUUCCCGGGCCUUGUACACACCGCCCGUCAAGCCAUGGGAGCCGGGGGUACCUGAAGUGCGUAACCGCGAGGAGCGCCCUAGGGUAAGACUGGUGACUGGGGCU
rnacentral:rRNA from 1 species